CUCACCGCCCCGCCUCCCAGACCUCCCUGCCUUCCAGCUGUCCGGAGGGAGAGCAGAUGCCUAGGGCCUUUGGGAAGGGUCCUGCCCAGUGCACCUCCGCUCCCGAUAACCUGUGUUUCCUCCUUUGUCAACCAGGUCACGCCGCCAGCGCUGCUCCUCAGGCCAGCUCCCCACCGGACUACACAAUGGCCUGGGCAGAAUAUUACAGACAGCAGGUCGCUUUCUACGGACAGACGUUAGGGCAGGCGCAGGCCCACAGCCAGGAGCAGUAGGACAGUGUCCUCGUCCCAACUCUCCCCUCAAAAUCAUUGUCAAAGAAAACCUAUUUGUAACAGAGGUUUUUACAUUUGCAAAUCUUUUGAUGAAGAACCGUUGUUUUGUUCUGUGAAACACUAUAUUUAGAUUAACGGAAUUUUUCUAAAAAUCGGGAAAAUUAGUUACUAAAAAUUGCUGAUCAUUUUUGUUUCAUUAUUUUUGUUAUU
rnacentral:sRNA from 1 species